UACGAAGGGGGCUAGCGUUGCUCGGAAUCACUGGGCGUAAAGGGCGCGUAGGCGGCGUUUUAAGUCGGGGGUGAAAGCCUGUGGCUCAACCACAGAAUGGCCUUCGAUACUGGGACGCUUGAGUAUGGUAGAGGUUGGUGGAACUGCGAGUGUAGAGGUGAAAUUCGUAGAUAUUCGCAAGAACACCAGUGGCGAAGGCGACUGACUGGACAUGUAUUGACGCUGAGGUACGAAAGCGUGGGGAGCAAACAGGAUUAGAUACCCUGGUAGUCCACGCCGUAAACGAUGAUAACUAGUUGUUCGGGCACAACGUGCUUGAGUGACGCAGCUAACGCAUUAAGUCAUCCGCCUGGGGAGUACGGUCGCAAGAUUAAAACUC
rnacentral:rRNA from 1 species